rnacentral:misc_RNA from 1 species
UAUUUUUUUGGAUGUAAGCGACGAAGGUUCGAGGCAAGUCUGCUUUAUCUAUGCUGGUAGCGACGAUUUCAACGGAAAUGUGUUCGACAAUGACAGAAGAAGAAAAUCUGGUAAAGCAGAUUAAUUUUUUAACAGAUCUCAUCAACAAAGGCAAACUUAAGAAUGAGAAUAGAGCUGCCCAUGCAAAACAAGAAGUGUCUUCCAUUAACAGAUUCAACCCAUAUCACGCAAAAGAUUUUUCCUGGAAACGGACAGACAAAAUGCACAAUGAACAGCCACCUUUGACGAAAAUCAAGACCAGUUGGUAUAAAGAUAGCACAAAACUUUCUUGUAUGAGACCCUUAACUACACAUGAUUUGUCAAGAUCAGUAAUUCUCAAGGAAGGCCACUCACAAAAGGUGCCGGUAAGGAGUGCAGAAAGCGUAGUUCGGUGCUGUGGAAAUGAAAAUACCAUCAGUGCAAGUCAUGAUCAAGGGCAAAGACAGUUUUCCUACAGCACUGAAUGUAAUUCUGAUGUCAGUAAAGAACAAGUUAUACAGGCAAGAAAACAGAUGAAGAGAAAUAUUGACAGUCUUAAAAUAAAAAUAGAAGAGCUGAGGGCUGCAAAAAAGGCAAAAAAAGAAAAUAAGGCAAGCAUUGAGAGUAAUAAACAGGAGUCACAAGAGAAAAGCUUGGAUCACAGUGGAAAGGUAGACAUUUCUACUGCCAAAGGUCAGGUCACUUUGAAAGAUACUGAAACCAACAGCACUAAGCAUGAAAUGUUUGCUGUGGCAGAUCCCAUACCAGUAUACACUGGACAUGAGUUUAGCAAAAGUGUAGACUGUAUGAAAACAAGGACUGACAUUAGUCAUUCACAAAAAAAUCUUUCCUCACAGGAAAGUUCAAGCUUAGAAGCAUAUUCUAACCUACAGGAGAGAGGUUUGGUUUGUGAUAAAAUGCAAGAUAGGGAUUAUAAACAGCAGAGUAUGUGUAAUGCUACAAAGGAUGCAAGAAUUACAGAGAAAAAAGCAAAAAUAAGGCAGCCUACUUUAAUAAAAAAGUCAGCAGUUGAAAAACUUAGAGAAGAGCUGAAAGCAACAGAAGAGAAACUGCAGUACAUGAGGAAAAAAAUGGACUUUAUGUUAAACGAGCCACCUCUCAAAGUAAGUGCAGCUCUUGUCAUGUGCAGCAAUGCAGGCAAAAGCUCUUUCCUUAAGGCAGCUUCAGAUUCAGCAAAAACUAUUGAUGGGAUAAACAUAGAUGGAUUAGGUACUCGGGUGAUAGAAAAAACUUCCAGUGAUGUAUCACCAGUUCCAGAGUCCAGCAAGCCAUUUUCAGGUAGGACACCAAAAGCAGCAUCAGGAUCACAGGAUACAAAUAACACGCAUGUUAUUGGCUUUUCUUUGUCCACAAAACAUUGCUUGAAACAAUCAUUUAAAUCACCACAUGUUCAGAAGAAUAGUGUGAGUGUCAACAAGGAAUUAGAUACAAGUCCGUGUAUUAUUGCCUCAAACACCCAUAGCAGUAACAAUUCUCAGUUCAGAUAUGUGAAAAUUCCCAAGCGAGACAGAGGCAAGUUGCCAUCAAAGGUGCCUCAUCCAAAAAGCAGUCAGCCUGCACAAUGUCUUUUGAAAAGACAUUUUUUGAAAAAAGUGAACACAGAUGUGUUGCAAAAUCAAGCAGGAAAAACAAAUGUAAGCAUGCAUACUGAUAAUUCACCUAUUUGUGUGAGGACCCAGUUUAAACUUGUAAAAAAUCCAUCUUCAUCUGGGAUCUUUUCAGCACAUGCAUCCCAGCCAUUCAGAAAGUUAACCCAUCAUUACACAAGCAAUAAACAAGUCAGACUAGAAAGCGCAACUCAGCACCCAAGUUCACUGUAUUUUCGGUCUAAAGCACAAUCUUCAUUUGGGUAUGGUCGUAGUUUUUAUCAGAAAAAGUGGGAUAUUCUGAAAAGAAGAGGAAGUUAUAGAUCUGGACUGCUGAGGCACUUCUCCACAACCUUUUGUGUUCCACAAUAUGGGUACAGAACUCGGCCAGCUGCAUUUAUGCGAUCCAAGACAGACAAACUACAAGGGUAUAGAUACCAGUGGAAGCGCCGGUCACAGGAAACAUGUUCUAGAAGCUAUAGAAGUAUUAACUACAUGAAGCUACAGCAACAGCAGAUGAGAAACCGCAUCAACCUGAUGAUGAAAAAUAGUUCAAGGGGAAGAAUUAAUUGUAGCCCCUCUAAGCUGCAAACAGGGCGUGGGAGACAUGAACGAUUGUUGCUGAUUAAUGGCAUCUUGUACAAGUCAAGCACCACUCAUCUCAUGAAAGCUUCAACCCCUGUAUCUUCCAAAAGACGUUUCACUCAUACAGCUUCUAACAAGUCAGUUGUUGUCAAGAGCAUGAACAAAACAAAAAUGCAAUCAGUUACUGUUCGAGGUGUACGGUUCAGUGUGGACCUCAGUGGGAAAAGGUUAAGGAGAGACUUAAGUAGCACUUAUCAAGAAAAGUCUGCAUCUGUGUCACGUGUUGACAUUGGUGGAACCACUUAUGUAGAGACUAGGCAGGGGAUUUUGGAAAGAAUGUAUGAUCAUCAGACCCGCACUGUUGUCAACCGUGUAAAGCAGCGAUGUAUUGCCUUGGCAACUGCCAAAUUCAGGAAGAACAACACAAAAGACCAAAUAAAGCUCUGCUUAUUCUUUUGUCGCUUUGGAAAGUGCGGCCGUGGAGACAAGUGCCCUUAUGUUCAUGACCCUGAUAAGAUUGCUGUGUGCACAAGAUUCCUUCGAGGAACAUGCAAAAUAGAGAAAUGCCCUUACUCCCAUAAAGUGGCAAAGGAAAAGAUGCCAGUCUGUGCCUUUUUCUUACGAGGAGUGUGUACACGUGAGGAUUGUCCUUAUUUACAUGUUAAGGUCAACCAGGGAGCAGAAUUGUGUGAAGACUUUAUUACUGGAUUUUGUUCUCUUGCCGAGAAGUGCCCCAAGCUUCAUUCACUGAGCUGCCCAGCAUUUGCCAAGACUGGCAAGUGUGAAGCAGGGAAAAAGUGUCACCUGGUCCAUAGGAGAGCAAAAGCAGCCAGACAAAAGGAUACAUCAACAGACCGCAAUUUAAACAGACCAGCUAUGAAACAGCCUUCAAGAUCAGCAGCCAAAGAACAAACAGUUGAGGAAGGGCAGAAUGAAGUUUCCCAGUGCAAGAUAAUGCAGUUUCCUGGAUUUAUUUCCCUAGCAGACUACAGCCCAAAGGAAUUAUUGACACAAACUUCAUCACAUGGUACAAGAAGAUGUUCUGAAUGCCCACAGACAAGUUCGAGUUGUGGACUUCAUAUCAAACCUCGACUAUGAAAUGUCAAUUCUGCUGAUAGCUCAUCCAUUUGUUUCCUGGAAAGCUGGAUCUGCUAAUUUUCAAAUUACCAACAGACUUCUUCAAUGUGCAAUUCUGUAUCUCUAGUAAUUUAGAUAUAUAUGUAAGAUGACUGUAUAUUUUGUCUAAAGAUAAGACAAAACAUUAUGAUAUGAAGAAUGGGUUCCUUGUCAGGAGCAUAUUUUAACUUGAACAAUUGUCUUUCAUGAUCUAAUAACCACUGUGAUGAGUCGCAGAUCUUAUUUGAUCUAAAAGCUGUGACAAUACAAUGACUUUUAUCAGGGCUUCUGCUAAGGCUAAAUUCUUUGGGGUCCCAGGACCCCUUCUUCAGAUUUUUAAGUCGUCCCUGUUCUUCACCCAACUUUGAAUGGGACCCCAUCGACGAAAAUUGAAGGGGUCCUCCGAACUUUUAAUGCGUACUGUACGCAAUUUUUUGCGUAAGCAGAAGCCCUGCUUUUAUCUCUGUUUGCGAUGUAUUCCAAACCCUUUUUCAAGAGGCUCUUAAGUUUUUGGAGGAAAGGAACAUGCUGAGAGAGCAAAAUUUAGAGACUUGUAUAUUGCUCUGUCUAGGAUAUACUAUACUGGAAAUUGAAAAAAUAAUAACAAUUUUGCGUACAAAAGGCUAGAUGUGUUUAAAGAGGAAACAAAUAAAUUUAAAACGGAAUGCUUAAAUUUUUCCAAAGACAUCGACAAGUCACCUUUGAUCAACACCAAAACUUACUUAAAUUCUACCAGUCUACCAAAUUCAGAGAAGUAAAGGAGAAAUAUAAGAAAUAACAACAGGCAAAGAGAAAACUUUACUGGACACAUCUGCAGUUGGAUGUACAAGGAGGGGCAAAGAGGCAAGUAUUUUCUACUGGAGAAAAAAGUAACCCGUGGAAGGAAAAAAAUGUGAUCAAUCUAAUUCAACAUCAGGAAAAAAUAAACAAAGGAAAACAUCAAUGGAUAUGUUUCCUGUUAGAUGAUAGUGUUAGACUAUGAACAGGAAAAUCAGUAUUUACUAAACAAAAAACUUCUAUCUGCAGGUAUCAGAUUUACUUGGUCUAGAAGGGUAGGUGCCUGCCUAAAUGAGCUUCAUAAAUAUGAACCCUUAAUUGUAGUAGUCCAUUGUUUUAAAGUUCUGUAUCAAAUGUUGGACUGACCAUGUUGGCAAAUCUCAUUGUAUAGACCUGAAAAUAAAAUCAGAUGAACACAAAA